GCUUGGCUAGCUCAGUCAGUGGAGCAUGAAACUCUUGAUCUUGGGGAAGUGGGUUCAAGCCCCAUGUUGGGUG
rnacentral:tRNA from 1 species